UACGUAGGGUGCAGGCGUUAAUCGGAAUCACUGGGCGUAAAGCGCACGUAGGCGGAUUGCUAAGUCAGGGGUGAAAUCCUGGAGCUCAACUCCAGAACUGCCUUUGAUACUGGCGAUCUCGAGUCCGGGAGAGGUGAGUGGAACUGCGAGUGUAGAGGUGAAAUUCGUAGAUAUUCGCAAGAACACCAGUGGCGAAGGCGGCUCACUGGCCCGGUACUGACGCUGAGGUGCGAAAGCGUGGGGAGCAAACAGG
rnacentral:rRNA from 1 species